UUAAUUAAAUAAAAGAUAACGUCUUAAAUAUAGCUAAGGUAAAUUUCUCUGGCUUACUUCGAUACGGGGUGGUAACUUUCACUUCACUUUCAUUACCACCGUACAACACCUGAGAAUUAAAUUGUAGUUUUCUGAAAAUCAUACCUACUAUUCGAAUGGAAAUAUUUCAGUUCAAUAACUAGGAAUUAAGAUUUUAACAGCCCUUUACAAAAUUUUCAUAGUUUCAUUUUGGAUCUAGUUUUAAUAGAAGUGUGUAGAUUCAAUAUAGAUAUUACUUCAGGGUUAUUACUUACGUAGGGUACGUAGCGUGAACCGCACGCAGGUGAUGCCUGUAAGGACUUCGUAACAUAAUUCAGUACAGGUGAUGCCUGUCAAAACAUGAUGUGAGGUGACAUACGUGUUUUACCAGAUGAUGCCUGGUAGUCCGGAAACAGGUGAUGCCUGUAAGGACUUCGUAACAUAAUUCAGUACAGGUGAUGCCUGUCAAAACAUGAUGUGAGGUGACAUACGUGUUUUACCAGAUGAUGCCUGGUAGUCCGGAAACAGGUGAUGCCUGUAAGGACUUCGUAACAUAAUUCAGUACAGGUGAUGCCUGUCAAAACAUGAUGUGAGGUGACAUACGUGUUUUACCAGAUGAUGCCUGGUAGUCCGGAAACAGGUGAUGCCUGUAAGGACUUCGUAACAUAAUUCAGUACAGGUGAUGCCUGUCAAAACAUGAUGUGAGGUGACAUACGUGUUUUACCAGAUGAUGCCUGGUAGUCCGGAAACAGGUGAUGCCUGUAAGGACUUCGUAACAUAAUUCAGUACACGUGAUGCCUGUCAAAACAUGAUGUGAUGUGACAUACGUGUUUUACCAGAUGAUGCCUGGUAGUCCGCAAACAGGUGAUGCCUGUAAGGACUUCGUUAUAUAAUUUAGUUCAGGUGAUGCCUGUAAUACAUGUGAUGCGACGUAGGUGUAUCAUGUGUGUGAAAGGUACUAUGUAGUGUUGUAUUCGGGUGACGCGCGUAACCCGAAGUUUGUAUAUGGGUAACGCCCGUUUACUGAAGUUCGAAGACAACUCAUUAGAUAUUGUUAGUUUAAAUUAAAACUAUAGCGUUAGUUGAAUAAUGCAAGGAAUAAAUAAUGAAUGUGUCAGGUUAUUAAAAGCAUGAUGCUCAUUUGAUGACCAAAAUAUGACAUUCUUUAUUUAUUUAACUGUCCACAGAUUAAAAUACGAUGUCGAGCCUUACUUUGGAAAAAUUUGAAUGCGAUGGUGAAGCAGGAUCUGUUGGAGCUAGAUGGGAACGUUGGAAAAGAAGUUUAUAUAUUUACUUGGAAACGGCUGAUAUUAAUACUAGUUCAAAAAAACGCGCAAGUUUGUUGCAUUGGGGAGGGCAAGAACUUCAAGAAAUACUGUUUAAUUUACCGGGUGGUUACGUUCAGUCGAUAGAUGAUGGUGACAUAGAUGUGUUUGAAGUAGCAAUGAAGAAGUUAGAUGAAUAUUUUGCACCUAGACAAAAUAAACGGUAUGAGAGACACCUAUUCAGACAAAUAAAACAAGAUGAAAACGAGAAAUUUGAAAAAUAUUUAGUUCGACUAAGACAACAAGCUUUGAAAUGUCAAUUUACGGAUAUCGAUGACAGUUUGAUUGACCAGAUAAUUGAAAAGUGUUCAUCGGAAGAACUCAGGAAGAAAGUGCUCCGGGCAGGCGAGAAAAUUA